AUUGAACGCUGGCGGCGUGCCUAACACAUGCAAGUCGAGCGGUAACAGGUGUAGCAAUACAUGCUGACGAGCGGCGAACGGGUGAGUAAUGCUUCGGGAUCUACCUUAUGGUGGGGAAUAACUAGCCGAAAGGUUAGCUAAUACCGCAUACGUCCUACGGGAGAAAGCAGGGGAUCGCAAGACCUUGCGCCAAAAGAUGAGCCGAAGUCGGAUUAGCUAGUUGGUAGGGUAACGGCCUACCAAGGCGACGAUCCGUAGCUGGUCUGAGAGGACGACCGGCCACACUGGGACUGAGACACGGCCCAGACUCCUACGGGAGGCAGCAGUGGGGAAUAUUGGACAAUGGGGGAAACCCUGAUCCAGCGACGCCGCGUGUGUGAAGAAGGCCUGCGGGUUGUAAAGCACUUUUAGUGGGGAUGAAAUGUGCAGGGUUAAUACCUCUGCAUUUUGACCUAACCCACAGAAAAAGCACCGGCUAACUCUGUGCCAGCCGCCGCUGUAA
rnacentral:rRNA from 1 species